CAGAAGAAAAUAUAAAGGAAAUAUCUUCAUGCCUUGGAUUUUGAAAUGGAUAUGACACCAAAAGCAUGAGCAAGAAAUGAAAAAUUAGAUAAGUUGGCUUUAAUUAAAAUUAAAAACUUUUGUGCAUCAAAGGAACUAUCAACAAGGUAAAAGAAAACCCACAGAAUUAGAGGAAAUAUUUGAUGGGGAAACCCCAUUUCUACAAAAACAAUUAGCUGGAUGGAGUGGUGCACGCCUAUAGUCCCAGUUACUCAGGAGGCUGAGGUAGGAGGAUGGCUUGAGCCCAGGAGGUGGAGGCUGCAGUGAGCUGAAAUCGUGCCACUGCACUCUAGCCUGGGAAACAGAGCCAGACUCUGUCUCAAAACCAAAAACAGGAAUAAAGUACUGAUAAAUGCUACAAUGUG
rnacentral:lncRNA from 10 species